UGCCAGCAGCCGCGGUAAUACGGAGGGUGCAAGCGUUGUCCGGAAUCACUGGGUGUAAAGGGUGUGCAGGCGGGGCAACAAGUCGGAUGUGAAACCCCAUGGCUCAACCAUGGAGGUGCAUUCGAAACUGUUGCUCUUGAGUCCCGGAGAGGCUGUCGGAAUUCGUGGUGUAGCGGUGAAAUGCGUAGAUAUCACGAGGAACACCAGAGGCGAAAGCGGGCAGCUGGACGGGUACUGACGCUCAGGCACGAAAGCGUGGGGAGCAAACAGGAUUAGAUACCCUGGUAGUCCACGCCGUAAACGAUGAACGCUCGCCGUUGCCCCGGUUAAGGGGCAGUGGCUAAGCUAACGCGUUAAGCGUUCCACCUGGGGAGUACGAUCGCAAGGUUGAAACUCAAAGGAAUUGACGGGGGCCCGCACAAGCGGUGGAGCAUGUGGCUCAAUUCGAUGCAACGCGCAGAACCUUACC
rnacentral:rRNA from 1 species